rnacentral:lncRNA from 1 species
GUUUAUUUUGGUUCAAAUUCUCCACAGGAUUCAGCCCAUGGUUGGCUGGAUCCAAGGCAAAUUAUGGCAGAAGGUUGUAGUGGAAAGAAGCUGCCAACCUAUGGCAGCCAGGAAGUAGAGAGAAGAAGGAGAAGAGCCAGGAACAAGAAUAAUACACUCUUCCAGGUCAAAACCCCAAUGACCCACCUCUUCCCAGCCCCACUUCCUAACUUCAAACUCAACUACUAGACUCAUCAAUAGAUGAAUCCAUUGAUGAAUACAGCACCCCGAUGAUCCAAGAACCUUCUAUUCCCAUGUGAACCAAGCUCGUGGUUCCACAAAUGUCUAAGAACAUAGUCACCAAGCAAAAGGAGAAGGUUAGGAGGGUUUUUAUUGGAAACAAGAAGAUGAAGAACAGCUCCUAGAUUUCAAGGAGGGGUCCUGAGUGGGUUGUCAUGUGGCCCCUCAAUCUUUAGUCACUGAUGUUAAGGAGGGCACAGGGAUUACUUAAUCAUUUAAGGGACACCGAUAGGUGAUAAUGGGUGGCCCUGUGAAGGUAAACAAAUGACCAAUUGGAACUCAGUCUCCCCUAACCCAUUUAUUUCACGUAGUGUUUACAGUAAACUGGAGUCUUAGAAAGAAACUGGUUAUUUUGCUUACAAUUUCCUCAAAAUUCAUGAGCUUAGUAGGGGUUGGCUGCAUCUCUCUCUAGGAGGGGCUCCAUUCUUUCUUGCCUGAGGAAGCUGUUCUUGGUCCAAAGUCCUAGGUCAGUAUUAUUCUUUAAAUUCCCAUUAUUAUGGCCUAUCCACCUCUUUUUCAGGCCCUUCCCCUAGCUAGCUGCCUCACUCAUAAGCUAACUAAAUAAACUAUGUUCUACACUUCCACACAUAUGAGACUUUUGGAGGAUAUUUUAAAGCUAAACCCUAACAAGGAGUAAGCCAAAUUUCAGAAAUAAAACCAAAAAAUAUAAGAUAUUACUGAAACAUCAAGGAGUUUGUAGUAUUUAAAGACAGACAUUGAAGAAAAUGCUAGAAAAAAAGCUGUUGUGAUACUUUCCUUAAUUUGAUUCUUUUAAAGUAUUUCUUUAGAAAUCUGUGAAUUUAUCAUUUUCUUAGUUCUAAAUUGCUGCCUGGAUUUGAACUUUUUUUAAGGUACACUGGAUGUGCAUAUCACCUAAGGAAUAUUUUCACCAGCAAGUGUCGAUGGUCUCUGUGAACAAUGAGCAGCUCCAGUACUUCCCAGUUUGAUUUUGUUGUCACAUGAGGCCAGUGAUUCUUCUGGUGACCAGAGCCCUGCGCCAAAUGUACCUGACUUGCCAAGGCCAAGAAGACAGACUUCUCUAGAGCCUACCGACUCUGCGAUUGAUCCUGGGCUUUUUCUGCCCUCCAUCUGCAGAAGAUGAGAGUGCUCUAUCUUCUUUCAGUGAGAUCGUACAGUCUUUGCAUUUCUCUUUAAACUGGUGACUUGAUGUAGACCACCCUGAAUGAGCUACAGAUUCAUAAAUUGGC